rnacentral:lncRNA from 1 species
GUAGACAACCUCUCUCCGCUAACGCUUCUCUCUUGUUUCUGCUCUGCACGGUAACUUCCAGGCAGGGUGUUUUCCAUUUCAUCGACAUGAUCUGGAUGCCAACGAAAUGAAGACCAUUCCUGGCGAAGGAAAUGACAGAUUAAAUUAUAGCCAGUCGGCUGUUCCAAGUUCUGCACAUCAUCCGAGUGUCCUUUGGCAGCAACAGUUGGCCCAAGCCUUGGAGCAGCAGCUGGUAUAUUUUCCAGGAGAGAAUAUG